AGCUCUGUAAGCGUAUACCAAAGUUGUUGCAGUUAAAACGCUCGUAGUCGGAACUUGGCGGGCGAUUUGCUUCGUCCUCACGGAUGGUAGCAGAUCGGCCGCCUUUGUGGAGGGUGGUCUACUGGUCCUUCACUGGGUCGAUAGAUCGCUGCCACCAUUUACUGUGAAAAAAUUAGAGUGUUCAAAGCAGGCGUUUGCCGUGAAUACAUUAGCAUGGAAUAAUAGAAUAGGACCUGAUUCCUAUUUUGUUGGUUUGUUAGAGUCGGGUAAUGAUUAAGAGGGAUGGUUGGGGGCAUUUGUAUUCCAGCGUCAGAGGUGAAAUUCUUGGAUUGUUGGAAGACAAACAGCUGCGAAAGCGUCUGCCAAGGACAUUUUCA
rnacentral:rRNA from 1 species